UACGUAGGGUGCAAGCGUUAUCCGGAAUUAUUGGGCGUAAAGAGCUCGUAGGCGGUUUGUCACGUCUGCUGUGAAAACUGGAGGCUCAACCUCCAGCCUGCAGUGGGUACGGGCAGACUAGAGUGCGGUAGGGGAGAUUGGAAUUCCUGGUGUAGCGGUGGAAUGCGCAGAUAUCAGGAGGAACACCGAUGGCGAAGGCAGAUCUCUGGGCCGUAACUGACGCUGAGGAGCGAAAGCUAGGGGAGCAAACGGG
rnacentral:rRNA from 1 species